AAUAAACGUUUUGUUUUAAAGAAACUUUAAAAAUUUUAGGCUUUUCCAAGUUACUAAAGGAAAUGUCUUUUUAUCAUACUGUGUCUGUGUGAUAACCUAUAGAAGGUAUUUACUUAAACUAGUUCUUAGAAUUUCUAUUACCCAUGAGAGAACUAGAAAAACCAAGCCAGAAAGGAGGAGGGAAGAGAACUUAAAAGAUUCACUCCUGUUUUACAGAGAAGUGUAUGGAUAGAAUGAACAGUAGUGGGAAGAGUGAGUGUACUCCUGUUGUUUGUGGUGUUACUGACAGAGUCCUACUUGUUUUCUCUUUCCUUUUUUUUUUUCAGAGUUUAUUUUGAGAGAGAGGGAGAGCAAGUAGGGGAGGGGCAGAGACCCACGCUGUCAGCGCAGAGCCUGACACGCGGGGCUCGAACUCACGAAGAGUGAGAUCACAACUGGGGCCGAAACUGAGUUGGACGCUUAACCAACUGAGCCAUCCAGGCACCCUCUGCUUAUUUUCAAAUAGCUUGGUUGGCAUAUAAGUAACAUCGUGAGUUUCAAGAUAUCGUGUGUUACGUUGAGUAUGGAGUUACAUAUGUGCAUGGCUGAGAAAUAAAAAUGAAAGCUGCGGUGGCUGAAGUCAGAGCUGGAAUACCAGCAUUCAUUGAAUUCCUGAGGAGUAAUACUGGAGAGUCUGUGAUGUUAUAUCUCUCAACAGACUUAGGUGAGAACGUUUUUUUCCUGAAAGAAUUAAUUGCUUACCUUAUUGUUUCUCUGUAAGAACAUAGACAACUAUUCAGAAGGUCAUAGCUAAAUAUUACUAAAAUUCAUUUCUCCAUGCAACAUCCUUACUGUACCGUUGAUCAUCCCUGUUGAAUUUUCAUUGGUUUGGAAAUGAUACGGCUGAUGUUUGGAAUUGUGCUGUUACAGUG